rnacentral:rRNA from 1 species
AUUGAACGCUGGCGGCAGGCCUAACACAUGCAAGUCGAGCGAGCGGCGGACGGGUGAGUAAUGUAUGGGGACUGCCCGAUAGAGGUGGAUAACUACUGGAAACGGUAGCUAAUACCGCAUACUAUCGGAUAACCCAUAUGGGAUUAGCUAGUAGGUGAGGUAAUGGCUCACCUAGGCGACGAUCCCUAGCUGGUCUGAGAGGAUGAUCAGACAAUCUGUGACUUGGACACGGCCCAGACUCUUACGGAGGCAGCAUUGGGGAAUAUUGCACAAUGGGCGCAAGCCUAAUGCAGCCAUGCCGCGUGUAUGAAGAAGGCUCUAGGUUUGUAAAGUACUUUCAGUCGGGAGGCGUUACCGACAGAAGAAGCACCGGCUAACUCCGUGCCAGCAGCCGCGGUAAUUC